rnacentral:rRNA from 1 species
GAUGAACGCUGGCGGCGUGCCUAAUACAUGCAAGUCGAGCGAACGGACGAGAAGCUUGCUUCUCUGAUGUUAGCGGCGGACGGGUGAGUAACACGUGGAUAACCUACCUAUAAGACUGGGAUAACUUCGGGAAACCGUAGCUAAUACCGGAUAAUAUUUGAACCGCAUGGUUCAAAAGUGAAAGACGGUCUUGCUGUCACUUAUAGAUGGAUCCGCGCUGCAUUAGCUAGUUGGUAAGGUAACGGCUUACCAAGGCAACGAUGCAUAGCCGACCUGAGAGGGUGAUCGGCCACACUGGAACUGAGACACGGUCCAGACUCCUACGGGAGGCAGCAGUAGGGAAUCUUCCGCAAUGGGCGAAAGCCUGACGGAGCAACGCCGCGUGAGUGAUGAAGGUCUUCGGAUCGUAAAACUCUGUUAUUAGGGAAGAACAUAUGUGUAAGUAACUGUGCACAUCUUGACGGUACCUAAUCAGAAAGCCACGGCUAACUACGU